AAAACGUGUUCCCCUCUUUAUUUUUGACUCUCUUGGGCGAAGGAAUUUAACCUUAAUUAUUUACUAUUUUUGUUUAACCUUCAAUAAAGAAGGGCUUUUUCGCUGGCUAGGUUCAAUUCUAACCCUUCUAACCUCCUUUGGGGUAGGUUUGUGGGUAUGGCAGAAGGAGAUAGGAUCUGCCCAUGCGAUGCCCACCUGGUGGAAACUCUAGCUCACAUGGUCCUUAAAUGUAAAAUGUAUGAUGAUCUCCACCAACAAUUUCUAGACCAUCUAUGUAUUCCAACAUGGAAACCAGAGACGGAGGUUAUGCACUUCUUAUUACAGGGGAGAGACCAGGAGCUCACCAAGACAGUAGCUAAGUUCCUCUAUUUGAUUUUUUGUCGUCGAAGUACGCUACAGGAUCCUGCCCUUGCUGGAGACCCAUAGAGAUGAAAUAGAUUGCUCGCCUCUUCUUCCCUUUGGCAAAUGACUGUACUGUUGAAAUGGCAACGAGAUCGCACUGGCCUGAAUGUGAGGCCAAUAAAGGAAUCUCAACUAGAUUGUGCAUGGCAGAUGGCCCAGGGUUCACCAAAGCUGGAUCUGGGCAUGCAAGAAAUGCAAACAAUUAUUGCGUUUGGACUGAAAUUGUUGGCGUGUGCACAGCUGCUCUUUCUUCCACUUGUCCCUCCCUCCCCCCACCUUUCAUUGUUCUUCAGCCACUUUGCAGGCUGCAAAUGUACCAGCUUUUGUCGCCGCUGAGCUUGCAGAGGAUUGUCUGCAUCAGACUGCGUUUAAGCGUCACUGCACCAGGGCCGGAUUUAGGUUUGCUGAGGCCCUAAGCUACUGAAGAAGCCGAACAUCUGAUGCGGUUGUCAGCUAUUGUUUCCGGGGCGCCUGCACCAAUCAGAAGCCGUGCCUUGGUUUUGGAACAUUUCAGAGUCAAACGGACUUCCGGAAUGGAUUACAUUCCAGAACCAAGGUGCCACUGUAUUUGUUUUUGCUAAUUAUUUUGCCUUUCUGUUUUUGAGGCUUUUCCAGUUAAUUUGUUUUUGUGAGUGUGGAACCUAGUUCAGCUACUGAUUGAUUGAUGUGUGACUGUAGAAAUGGAUUAAAAAAACUAUCCAAACAGUGACUAUCAUCAGUACAGGUGGGAAAAAAUAAUAAUUUUAAUUUUUAUCAUCGAUAAUACUGUCUUAUUUAUUUAUUUAUAGUAAAGUACAUUGGUUAUUGCUUUCAUUUUAUGUAUCAGUGGUCUCGUUAGAUAGAAAAAUUCAUGUUAAAAUGAUGUUUUAGGGGUUGUUUUUAAAAGUCUGGAACGGAUUAAUCCAUUUUCUAUUACUUUCUAUGGGAAAGCACACCUUGGUUUUGGAACAAUGGACUUCCAGAAUGGAUUAAGUUUGAGAACCAAGGUAUCACUAUAUUAUUUAUAUUUAUAUUAUUUAUAUUUAUAUUUAUAUAUGGCUCUGGGAAUCGGGGAAGCCCUUCAAUACUGUUUCAUAGACAUUAAGUUACAUAUUCUUGUUUUGUGUAUUUGAGCCUUCAUUGCUUUUAUAAAGCAUUCAUGGUUUGCUGAAAGUUUGUAGACCACUAACCAAAGGGAGCGAUGGUGGUUCUUUUUUUAAAAAAAGCAAAAGUUGGAAUUAAAAGCGGAGUAGAAAUAAUAUACAUUCAAAGGCUGCCAUCUGUUGGUCAAAUAUAUUUCUUACAGGUUACUUGGCACGGUGGAGACAUUUUGCAUAGGGGGGGUUCCACUUUUGCUUUUAUUGUUCCAUUUUUGUUAGAUGAAGGGAUGAGAUGAUGGGAGGGCAAUGAGAAAUAAAUAAAUAAAUAAAGUAAAGGUAAAGGUAAAGGUAAAGGUAAAGGUAAAGGUAAAGGUAAAGGUAAAGGUAAAGGUACCCCUGCCCAUACGGGCCAGUCUUGACAGACUCUAGGGUUGUGCGCCCAUCUCACUCUAUAGGCCGAGAGCCAGCGCUGUCCGGAGACACUUCCGGGUCACGUGGCCAGCGUGACAAAGCUGCAUCUGGCGAGCCAGAGCCGCACACGGAAACGCCGUUUACCUUCCCGCUGGUAAGUGGUCCCUAUUUAUCUACUUGCACCUGGGAGUGCUUUCGAACUGCUAGGUUGGCAGGCGCUGGGACCGAACAACAGGAGCGCACCCCGCUGCGGGGAUUCGAACCGCCGACCUUUCGAUCGGCAAGCCCUAGGCACUGAGGCUUUUACCCACAGCGCCACCCGCGUCCCGAAAUAAAUAAAUAGGUUGAUGCUAAUAAAGAAGACUUUCUUCUUAACGGGAGGAAAGGGGGCGGUGGGGGAAAGAUCUAGGCAUUGCUUAGAUUGUCAGGGCAAUGCGUGUGUGUGAGAGAUGAAAAGUUUCAUCAAACUCUUCAUUACACAACUUCUUUGCUGUUGCUACAAUCCUCACUUACCAGUGUUUUCACACCAUACAGCUCCCUGUUUGUGAUCUUUUCGAAACCCGGAGUUAAGAGGAAGUGUGUGGAUUCUGGCAAUGCAGUAAUUAGGUACUUGGCAGUUCUUAAUGUGUAUUAAUAAUAUUAUAUUAUUAAUG
ensembl:lncRNA